GAUGUGUCCAAGUUUGCGCUUAGGUGAGCACAUAAAGCAGAAAUGCUA
rnacentral:RNase_P_RNA from 1 species